GAUGAACGCUGGCGGCGUGCCUAAUACAUGCAAGUCGAGCGAACAGACGAGGAGCUUGCUCCUCUUACGUUAGCGGCGGACGGGUGAGUAACACGUGGAUAACCUACCUAUAAGACUGGGAUAACUUCGGGAAACCGGAGCUAAUACCGGAUAAUAUAUUGAACCGCAUGGUUCAAUAGUGAAAGACGGUUUUGCUGUCACUUAUAGAUGGAUCCGCGCCGCAUUAGCUAGUUGGUAAGGUAACGGCUUACCAAGGCAACGAUGCGUAGCCGACCUGAGGGGGUGAUCGGCCACACUGGAACUGAGACACGGUCCAGACUCCUACGGGAGGCAGCAGUAGGGAAUCUUCCGCAAUGGGCGAAAGCCUGACGGAGCAACGCCGCGUGAGUGAUGAAGGUCUUCGGAUCGUAAAACUCUGUUAUUAGGGAAGAACAAAUGUGUAAGUAACUAUGCACGUCUUGACGGUACCUAAUCAGAAAGCCACGGCUAACUACGUG
rnacentral:rRNA from 1 species